CUCAGACAAAGCGCUAAAAACAAAAAAGACAAUAUUAUCACAGGGCUGGAUAAUCAAGCAUACGAUCAAUACGAGAUCCUCAGUGAUGUUGAACGCAGUCAUUAUUCAAAUCUGGAUGCAGCUCGUUUAGCCAGCCAAGCUAUAAAAUUAGAGAGUCGAGAUACUGUCCAGUAUGAGAAUUUACGGGUCCCAAAGCCAGACUUUGAGAGAAGCACUCAAUAUGAGAGCCUUGUCCAGGGAGGCUCUCGAUACAACAAUGUUGUAUGGACACACGACUCCUCAACGACAAAGGUGCAAUGACUUGACAAUGUACAUGGAUAAGUAAAAUUGGUGGAAACAGAAAUGUGAACUACUCUUUCGGAACAAGACCUUUUGUACAAAAUGUAAAAACUUUGAUUCUACUAUAACAUUUCUGAUUGCGCGUUACCCGUCAAAUUAAUUUGUUUGGAUGCAGAACAUGACUGCCGGAUUUUACCUCAAUACAAAAGUGUAAUACACACGGAUAGCCCCUGAUGAAACAGUAAUGUGAAA